AUUGAACGCUGGCGGCAGGCCUAACACAUGCAAGUCGAGCGGUAGCACAGAGAGCUUGCUCUCGGGUGACGAGCGGCGGACGGGUGAGUAAUGUCUGGGAAACUGCCUGAUGGAGGGGGAUAACUACUGGAAACGGUAGCUAAUACCGCAUAACGUCGCAAGACCAAAGUGGGGGACCUUCGGGCCUCAUGCCAUCAGAUGUGCCCAGAUGGGAUUAGCUAGUAGGUGGGGUAACGGCUCACCUAGGCGACGAUCCCUAGCUGGUCUGAGAGGAUGACCAGCCACACUGGAACUGAGACACGGUCCAGACUCCUACGGGAGGCAGCAGUGGGGAAUAUUGCACAAUGGGCGCAAGCCUGAUGCAGCCAUGCCGCGUGUGUGAAGAAGGCCUUCGGGUUGUAAAGCACUUUCAGCGGGGAGGAAGGCGGUGAGGUUAAUAACCUCAUCGAUUGACGUUACCCGCAGAAGAAGCACCGGCUAACUCCGUGCCAGCAGCCGCGGUAAUACGGAGGGUGCAAGCGUUAAUCGGAAUUACUGGGCGUAAAGCGCACGCAGGCGGUCUGUCAAGUCGGAUGUGAAAUCCCCGGGCUCAACCUGGGAACUGCAUUCGAAACUGGCAGGCUAGAGUCUUGUAGAGGGGGGUAGAAUUCCAGGUGUAGCGGUGAAAUGCGUAGAGAUCUGGAGGAAUACCGGUGGCGAAGGCGGCCCCCUGGACAAAGACUGACGCUCAGGUGCGAAAGCGUGGGGAGCAAACAGGAUUAGAUACCCUGGUAGUCCACGCCGUAAACGAUGUCGAUUUGGAGGUUGUGCCCUUGAGGCGUGGCUUCCGGAGCUAACGCGUUAAACCGACCGCCUGGGGAGUACGGCCGCAAGGUUAAAACUCAAAUGAAUUGACGGGGGCCCGCACAAGCGGUGGAGCAUGUGGUUUAAUUCGAUGCAACGCGAAGAACCUUACCUGGUCUUGACAUCCACAGAACUUUCCAGAGAUGGAUUGGUGCCUUCGGGAACUGUGAGACAGGUGCUGCAUGGCUGUCGUCAGCUCGUGUUGUGAAAUGUUGGGUUAAGUCCCGCAACGAGCGCAACCCUUAUCCUUUGUUGCCAGCGGUUAGGCCGGGAACUCAAAGGAGACUGCCAGUGAUAAACUGGAGGAAGGUGGGGAUGACGUCAAGUCAUCAUGGCCCUUACGACCAGGGCUACACACGUGCUACAAUGGCAUAUACAAAGAGAAGCGACCUCGCGAGAGCAAGCGGACCUCAUAAAGUAUGUCGUAGUCCGGAUUGGAGUCUGCAACUCGACUCCAUGAAGUCGGAAUCGCUAGUAAUCGUAGAUCAGAAUGCUACGGUGAAUGCGUUCCCGGGCCU
rnacentral:rRNA from 1 species